rnacentral:rRNA from 1 species
AGGGUUUGAUCCUGGCUCAGAUUGAACGCUGGCGGCAGGCCUAACACAUGCAAGUCGAACGGUAACAGAACUAGCUUGCUAGUUGCUGACGAGUGGCGGACGGGUGAGUAAUACUUAGGGAUCUGCCUCUGUGUGGGGGAUAACUAUUGGAAACGAUAGCUAAUACCGCAUAAUGUCUACGGACCAAAGAGGGCUUCGGCUCUCGCGCAGAGAGGAACCUAAGCGAGAUUAGCUAGUUGGUGAGGUAAAGGCUCACCAAGGCGACGAUCUCUAGCUGUUCUGAGAGGAAGAUCAGCCACACUGGAACUGAGACACGGUCCAGACUCCUACGGGAGGCUGCAGUGGGGAAUAUUGCACAAUGGGGGAAACCCUGAUGCAGCCAUGCCGCGUGUGUGAAGAAGGCCUUCGGGUUGUAAAGCACUUUCAGUUGUGAGGAAAGUUUAGUAGUUAAUACCUGCUAGAUGUGACGUUAACAACAGAAGAAGCACCGGCUAACUCCGUGCCAGCAGCCGCGGUAAUACGGAGGUGCGAGCGUUAUCGGAAUUACUGGGCGUAAAGCGCACGCAGGCGGUCUGUUAAGCUAGAUGUGAAAGCCCCGCGCUCAACGUGGGAGGGUCAUUUAGAACUGGCAGACUAGAGUCUUGGAGAGGGGAGUGGAAUUCCAGGUGUAGCGGUGAAAUGCGUAGAGAUCUGAGGAACAUCAAUGGCGAAGGCAACUCCCUGGCCAAAGACUGACGCUCAUGUGCGAAAGUGUGGGUAGCGAACAGGAUUAGAUACCCUGGUAGUCCACACCGUAAACGCUGUCUACUAGCUGUUUGUGGAUAUAAUCCGUGAGUAGCGAAGCUAACGCGAUAAGUAGACCGCCUGGGGAGUACGGCCGCAAGGUUAAAAC